rnacentral:rRNA from 1 species
CCAAUAGCGUAUAUUAAAGUUGUUGCAGUUAAAAAGCUCGUAGUUGAACUUCGGGAUUUAUUCAUUGGUCAAGCUUAAUUGUUUGUACUGGUGAGAUGAAUCUCUACCUUCUGAGGAACUUUCAUGCCAUUUAUUUGGUGUGAUUGGAAAUCAGGACUGUUACUUUGAAAAAAUUAGAGUGUUUAAAGCAGGCUAACGUCUGAAUACAUUAGCAUGGAAUAAUGAAAUAGGACGGAUUGGUUCUAUUUUGUUGGUUUCUAGGAUCACCGUAAUGAUUAAUAGGGAUAGUUGGGGGCAUUAGUAUUCAAUUGUCAGAGGUGAAAUUCUUGGAUUUAUUGAAGACUAACUACUGCGAAAGCAUUUGCCAAGGAUGUUUUCAUUAAUCAAGAACGAAAGUUAGGGGAUCGAAGACGAUCAGAUACCGUCGUAGUCUUAACCAUAAACUAUGCCGACUAGGGAUCGGACGAAGUUAAUUUAUAAUGACGCG